GAUGAACGCUGGCGGCGUGCCUAAUACAUGCAAGUCGAGCGAACGGACGAGAAGCUUGCUUCUCUGAUGUUAGCGGCGGACGGGUGAGUAACACGUGGAUAACCUACCUAUAAGACUGGGAUAACUUCGGGAAACCGGAGCUAAUACCGGAUAAUAUUUUGAACCGCAUGGUUCAAAAGUGAAAGACGGUUUUGCUGUCACUUAUAGAUGGAUCCGCGCUGCAUUAGCUAGUUGGUAAGGUAACGGCUUACCAAGGCAACGAUGCAUAGCCGACCUGAGAGGGGGAUCGCCCACAUGGGAGCUGAGACACGGACCAGACUCCUACGGGAGGCAGCAGUAGGGAAUCUUCCGCAAUGGGCGAAAGCCUGACGGAGCAACGCCGCGUGAGUGAUGAAGGUCUUCGGAUCGUAAAACUCUGUUAUUAGGGAAGAACAUAUGUGUAAGUAACUGUGCACAUCUUGACGGUACCUAAUCAGAAAGCCACGGCUAACUACGUG
rnacentral:rRNA from 1 species